CCCUCCCCCUCCCUCCCUCCCUCCCGUCUGUCCUGUGUUGGAUUUAGUCUCGACUUAAAUAGUUGAUUAGUUUUCUGCAGGAAAUUCUGGUACCUAAUUUUUAAAUGGCUUUGAUUUAAAAAGUUAAUAGUUGCAACUUGGCCCUGUUGACAAACGUGGAAGCUGAUCAUGUAGUAAAUACAUCAAAGUUUACUGUAACUUGUCUAAAGUUAUUUCAAAGUGCUGUAAAAAUGUAGUAAUUGAUUACGAGGAGCUAGAGCAGGUCUUCCUUUAUUCUCAACUGGUAAUUGCUUUAAGAUAACUGGAUCCUGAUUUGAUUAUGAAGCUAAACUUUUGAUUUAUAUGCAAGUGUAGUCACAUUAGAUUGUAGGUGUUAUUCAGCCCAUGGAUAAUGUUAUGAUAUACUUUAGAUCUGGAUUUUGUUGGCACUUAACGCACUGCCAUCAGCCUUUUGUAGUCGCUAACUUAAAUCGAAUUUAAUAUUGAUGCUGACUUGUCUCACUCUGCCAAGUUUAUUUCCCUCUAAAGGAGUUGAACCUUUUUGUGUUCAUAGUCUUUUUGCGCGUCAUGUUGGGAGGCCUCCCAGCAGGGGAUUUUUAUCUUCCCCUGUAAAACUACGUGUUACUCGCCUUUAGGGAUGCAGGCCUAUCCUGCAUAGUUUCUUUCAUAAAUGGGAUUGUAGGUUGCAGGUUUAGAGCGCGUUUCUUUUCUUUAGGAGGACACAAACCUGGCAGAGAGACAACUCGGAUUAUUUAAGUGAAAGUUGCGCCAAAUGUUCAAACCUUUUAUCUUUCGGACGACUUGAAAUAAAACCUUUUAUUCUGUGGGCUGACUUUCAGGAGUCAUGAUGUUUAGAAAAUCAGACAGAAUUUGGCUUCAUGUUAAGGACUGUUGUGCAAGUACCCUCUUGUAGCAGGAGUGAGCGGCUGCAGCUUUUUAAUUUUUCGUUAUUUGAUUUGUUUCUUGGAUUGACUUGGUGUCUGGAGCUUUGUGGUUAACAGUGAUCAUGUAAACGUGUAAACACAAGUGGUCUUUUGCCUCUUAUUUGCGAAGCUGGCAGCUGGUUGAAAUGAUAGGACUUUAUGGCUUGCCCAAAGUGGGAUUUUUGAUCGAGCAUAGGGUUAACACCUCACCAUACACUAGCUAUUUUGGCGAACAAGUGUCUGUAGUCCGUUAUUACCCAUUACUUUCUUUCAAAUUCCACAAUUUAGGCAGCUUGUAGAGUCAUUAGGAAGAUGCUUAAUCCCAAUGUCUUGGUUGGUUGCAUGAGAAACUGCUAUCUCUUAGAUGUGUUGGCGAAGUUCCUCCUCUGAUUUUUGUAGACUUGCCCUGAAGUUUCUCUCUGCUUUAACUAUUGUUGAGCUAUGCAUUAAAUGAUUCCUCCAACUUGUCUCCAUAUCAAUUUUUUUCUCCCCCCAGCCUUCCACCACCCACUGCUGCUGUUGCAUCUGCUAAAGGUAGCCGUAUCCUGAUUCACUGCGUCUUCAUGUGUUGGGUAAGAAGUGUCAUUGGACUAUUAACAAUGUAAACACCUUUUAAAUGCUUGAUCUAAUUUACCCAAAUGGUUCAUCAGUUUAGGGCAAAAAAAUCAUUGAAUUUGACAUUCUUGGGGUCAGUAACCUGACCUCUAAAUGUUUGGGAAACCAUGCAAAAGAUCGCAAGCUCUCUGCAUGACCCAACAGCAUCGAUGUUUGAGUGAUUUAAGUGCUCAAUUUUUAAAUCAGUCAAGAUUUUAUGAGCUGGGUCUUCUUCACACAACAGAGAACAAGGUAAAUUGAGUCGACUCGUAACAUGGUAAGGCAUUUUGUCUUUCCCCUUCUUCUCUGUGUGUGAGGAAAUCUGGCCACGGAUCCUGACUGAGUGGCAUACCAUGGCUGUGCAGUUUCCAAAAUCAGACAAGGAUCCAUCUGAUUUUGUGACUCAGCCUGUCAUGAUAUGCAUUUAACUUCCUCCGAAACAAAGGAUUGGAAUCGACAGGUUUGUAGUGUAAAUCACAUCACAUCACAUGUAGGUGGUGAAGCAUUCGUUUAAAUUGGGGUCAAGCAUUUUCAGGUGUCUGCUUUGUCAAUACUCUGGUGCCACAUCUUGCUAAACACACGAGAAGCUCUGAAUUGUGAAACUGCUGCCUCUUGCAGAUGUUACAACAGCAAUGGCUGUUGAAAGGCUGCAGGGAGAGAAAAUGAGAUCUGAGGACAGGAAAGUGGAAUUGAUUUCAUGCUUAGCAAAAUGAGGGUUUUAGCAGAGGACCUUUUUGCGGCUAAGCUACAGAAUCAGAAGGAACGUUUGUCUGGGCAACUGGGAGAUUUACAGUUUUUCAUGCAGCCAGCCAAGACAUUGGGGUUAGCAUCAUACCAAAUGGCUGGCAAAGAUUGCCUGUAACUGUCAGUGUAGAACAGGAAAGGCAGAUAUAGGUUAGGGAGGGCAUCCAUUGGUGAGCUCUGACUGGAUGUGAGGACCUGUCACACUUGACCAGAGAUGGAGGCUGCAGCACAUUCCUGGAUCAGAGGACUCCAUGUUGGACACCACGACCUGGAGAAGUCCCGUCCUGGGUGGCUGCAGUGAUGACCUCGCCCAAGAUGAACCGACCAUUCUGCGACGAGGACUUCGCCCAAGAUGAACCGACCCUUCUGCGAUGAGGACUUCGUCCAAGAUGAACCGACCCUUCUGCGAUGACGCCUCUUUUCUACGGGAUGUCUUCAGAUGUUGGACCUUGCCAAACUGUACACAUGGCUGCUACGUCACUCUGCCCAACAGGACAUGGUCACCAAGAUUUUUUUUUUUUUUAAAUGGACUUUAACCCCCCCAUCCCCCCUGACCCAUUAAUUUAAUAUCGAUGCUGACUUGUCUCACUCUGCCAAGUUUAUUUCCCUCUAAAGGAGUUGAACCUUUUUGUGUUCAUAGUCUUUUUGCGCGUCAUGUUGGGAGGCCUCCCAGCAGGGGAUUUUUAUCUUCCCCUGCAAAACUAUGCGUUACUCGCCUUAGGGAUGCAGGGCUAUCCUGCAUAGUUUCUUUCAUAAAUGAGAUUGUAGGUUGCAGGUUUAGAGCGCGUUUCUUUUCUUUAGGAGGACACAAACCUGGCAGAGAGACAACUCGGAUUAUUUAAGUGAAAGUUGCGCCAAAUGUUCAAACUUUUUAUCUUUCGAUACGAAACUUGAAAUAAAACCUUUGUUCUGU